rnacentral:rRNA from 1 species
AGUGAACGUUGGCGGCGUGGAUUAGGCAUGCAAGUCGAGCGAGAACCGUAGCAAUACGGGGACAGCGGCGAAAGGGACAGUAAUGUGUAGGUACCUACCCCGAGGUCUGGGAUAGCUGCGGGAAACUGCAGGUAAUACCGGAUAAUGUCUUCGGACCAAAGGUGUGAUUCCACCUUGGGAGGGGCCUGCAUCCUAUUAGCUAGUUGGCGGGGUAAUGGCCCACCAAGGCGACGAUGGGUAGCGGGUGUGAGAGCACGACCCGCGUCAUUGGGACGGAGAUACCGCCCAGACACCUACGGGGGGCUGCAGUCGAGGAGCUUCGGCAAGGGGCGAAAGCCUGACCGAGCGACGCCGCGUGCGGGAUGAAGGCCUUCGGGUUGUAAACCGCUGUCGUAGAGGAGGAAAUGCAGGGGGGUUCUCCCUUCUGUUUGACCUAUUCUAGGAGGAAGGACGGGCUAAGUUCGUGCCAGCAGCCGCCGUAA